rnacentral:rRNA from 1 species
GAUGAACGCUGGCGGCGUGCCUAAUACAUGCAAGUCGAGCGAACGGACGAGAAUCUUGCUUCUCUUAUGUUAGCGGCGGACGGGUGAGUAACACGUGGAUAACCUACCUAUAAGACUUUGAUAACUUCGGGAAACCGGAGCUAAUACCGGAUAAUAUUUUUAUCCGCAUGGUUCAAAAGUUAAAGACGGUCUUGCUGUCACUUAUAGAUGUAUCCGCGCUGCAUUAGCUAGUUGGUAAGGUAACGGCUUACCAAGGCAACGAUGCAUAGCCGACCUGAGAGGGUGAUCGGCCACACUGGAAAUGAGACAAGGGCCAGACUCCUAAGGGAGGCAGCAGUAGGGAAACUUCCGGAAUGGGCGAAAGCCUGACGGAGCAAAGCCGCGUGAGUGAUAAAGGUCUUCGGAUCGUAAAACUCUGUUAUUAGGGAAGAACAGAUGUGUAAGUAACUGUGCACAGCGUGACGGUACCUAAUCAGAAAGCCACGGCUAACUACGUG